rnacentral:rRNA from 1 species
GACGAACGCUGGCGGCGUGCCUAAUACAUGCGAGUCGAACGAGAGCGACCGGUGCUUGCACUGGUCAAUCUAGUGGCGAACGGGUGAGUAACACGUGGGUAACCUGCCCAUCAGAGGGGGAUAACAUCCGGAAACGGAUGCUAAAACCGCAUAGGUCUUCGAACCGCAUGGUUUGAAGAGGAAAAGAGGCGCAAGCUUCUGCUGAUGGAUGGACCCGCGGUGCAUUAGCUAGUUGGUGAGGUAACGGCUCACCAAGGCCGUGAUGCAUAGCCGACCUGAGAGGGUGAUCGGCCACAUUGGGACUGAGACACGGCCCUAACUCCUACGGGAGGCAGCAGUAGGGAAUCUUCCGCAAUGGACGCAAGUCUGACGGAGCAACGCCGCGUGAGUGAAGAAGGUUUUCGGAUCGUAAAACUCUGUUGUUAGAGAAGAACAAGUGCUAGAGUAACUGUUAGCGCCUUGACGGUAUCUAACCAGAAAGCCACGGCUAACUACGUG